rnacentral:piRNA from 1 species
UGAUGUGUUUUAAAUGAAGGUGUGCUC